UCGAUUCCCUUAGUAGCGGCGAGCGAAACGGGAAGAGCCCAAACCAACAAGCUUGCUUGUUGGGGUUGUAGGACACUCUAUACGGAGUUACAAAGGACGACAUUAGACGAAUCAUCUGGAAAGAUGAAUCAAAGAAGGUAAUAAUCCUGUAGUCGAAAAUGUUGUCUCUCUUGAGUGGAUCCUGAGUACGACGGAGCACGUGAAAUUCCGUCGGAAUCUGGGAGGACCAUCUCCUAAGGCUAAAUACUCUCUAGUGACCGAUAGUGAACCAGUACCGUGAGGGAAAGGUGAAAAGCACCCCGGAAGGGGAGUGAAAUAGAACCUGAAACCGUGUGCUUACAAGUAGUCAGAGCCCGUUAAUGGGUGAUGGCGUGCCUUUUGUAGAAUGAACCGGCGAGUUACGAUUUGAUGCAAGGUUAAGCAGUAAAUGUGGAGCCGUAGCGAAAGCGAGUCUGAAUAGGGCGUUUAGUAUUUGGUCGUAGACCCGAAACCAGGUGAUCUACCCUUGGUCAGGUUGAAGUUCAGGUAACACUGAAUGGAGGACCGAACCGACUUACGUUGAAAAGUGAGCGGAUGAACUGAGGGUAGCGGAGAAAUUCCAAUCGAACCUGGAGAUAGCUGGUUCUCUCCGAAAUAGCUUUAGGGCUAGCCUCAAGUGAUGAUUAUUGGAGGUAGAGCACUGUUUGGACGAGGGGCCCCUCUCGGGUUACCGAAUUCAGACAAACUCCGAAUGCCAAUUAAUUUAACUUGGGAGUCAGAACAUGGGUGAUAAGGUCCGUGUUCGAAAGGGAAACAGCCCAGACCACCAGCUAAGGUCCCAAAAUAUAUGUUAAGUGGAAAAGGAUGUGGCGUUGCCCAGACAACUAGGAUGUUGGCUUAGAAGCAGCCAUCAUUUAAAGAGUGCGUAAUAGCUCACUAGUCGAGUGACACUGCGCCGAAAAUGUACCGGGGCUAAACAUAUUACCGAAGCUGUGGAUUGUCCUUUGGACAAUGGUAGGAGAGCGUUCUAAGGGCGUUGAAGCAUGAUCGUAAGGACAUGUGGAGCGCUUAGAAGUGAGAAUGCCGGUGUGAGUAGCGAAAGACGGGUGAGAAUCCCGUCCACCGAUUGACUAAGGUUUCCAGAGGAAGGCUCGUCCGCUCUGGGUUAGUCGGGUCCUAAGCUGAGGCCGACAGGCGUAGGCGAUGGAUAACAGGUUGAUAUUCCUGUACCACCUAUAAUCGUUUUAAUCGAUGGGGGGACGCAGUAGGAUAGGCGAAGCGUGCGAUUGGAUUGCACGUCUAAGCAGUAAGGCUGAGUAUUAGGCAAAUCCGGUACUCGUUAAGGCUGAGCUGUGAUGGGGAGAAGACAUUGUGUCUUCGAGUCGUUGAUUUCACACUGCCGAGAAAAGCCUCUAGAUAGAAAAUAGGUGCCCGUACCGCAAACCGACACAGGUAGUCAAGAUGAGAAUUCUAAGGUGAGCGAGCGAACUCUCGUUAAGGAACUCGGCAAAAU
rnacentral:rRNA from 1 species